UACUCAUGAGGGUUGACCUGAAGACCUGC
rnacentral:piRNA from 1 species